GCCUCCAUAGCUCAGUGGCAGAGCGCUGGUCUUGUAAACCAGAGGCAGAGAGUUUAUACCUCUCUGGAGGCA